GACGACCUGUAUGAGGUAGAUUAUUAAAAAGUCUUUGCAGUGAUUUCUCUGUGAUUGUGUAACUAUGGCCUCCUCCUGCCUUCAGUCAGCACAGCUGAGACUGAAAUAUUAAAGCUUUUUAUUGUCAGGACUCAGUGUUACACUCAGGAUGAGCUCACAUAAAGGACACACACAGUGUGUGUAUUAUGUAGUUACAGUUUGGAUUCAAUGUGUUGCAGCUGCAGGAACAUCAGCUGAAGGAUUUGAUGUGGAGGACACAGAGAGAGAGAAACACUCUGAGGAUGAACGUUGGCCUGCACUGAUCCACCAAGUAGAAACGAUGGAGUCUGUUAUUGAGCUGCUUUUGGAAACUCUGGCUGCUCUGAAUGACCAGGAGCUCAGAGAGUUCAAGCAGGUCAGGGAAAAAACG